AUACUUACCUGGCAGGGGAGAUACCAUGAUCACGAAGGUGGUUUUCCCAGGGCGAGGUUUAUUUAUUGCACUCCAGAUGUGCUGACCCCUGCGAUUUCCCCAAAUGCGGGAAACUCGACUGCAUAAUUUGUGGUAGUGGGGAACUUCGUUCGCGCUCUCCCCU
rnacentral:snRNA from 1 species